rnacentral:snRNA from 1 species
CUGGUUUCUCUUCAGAUCGAAUAAAUCUUUUGCCUUUUACUAAAGAUUUCCGUGGAGAGAAACAAUUCUG